rnacentral:rRNA from 1 species
AUGUCUUCUCCCAGAUUGGAAAUGCUCUUCAGCAGCCUGUUCUAUGACUCGGCAUCAUCGGAGAACUUUUCUGGUCAUCCCGGUGUUGAGAGAUGCCCAUUCCUGAGGAACAUCAAUGGAGCCACAACCUUUUCAUUUUCUUCUGCUUUGCCUGUAGCUGCUCGGGGAAGCAAGGGCCUGAUCUUUGAGGAUGGACCAGGCUUUGAGUCGGCAUUCAAGCUUUUCCAUGGACAGGAUGGGAUAGUUCCCCUUUCAGGAAGAUCAUAUGUGCCUGAUGAGAACCGUAGUGAGAUCACUGAUGUCAAUCCUGAACCUGCUCUGCCCUUUAAUCCAUUUGCUGCAAGAGUCGCUACCAUAAGUCUAUCAGCAUUUGGACCAUUCGGGUUUAACUUCUAUAAUGGCAAGGGCAAAAAGCAGAACAAGAAGCCCAACAAUCUAGACCAGUCACACAAGAAGCCCAACAAGCCAGAUCAGAAUUCCAUGAAAGCAAGAGGCAGAAGCUGGAGCGACAGCCGUGGUGCCGUGGAAGUGGCGAGUCAUGGAGGCAGAGUUGGUCAGUGCAAAGUUGUGCGAAGCGAAGCCAGGCUACGCAGACAAGCAGGCCGAGGGCGAAGGCGGUCGGGUGCCACAGAUGGAGGCGCUGGGACAGGGUGGUGA